GUAACAUUCCCCUGUUGGGACUCUCACCUCCCCUCCUCACUCAGAACACGUUCCACUUACCACACUCUCACUCAUGGAAGCAAACUGAAUUUUAGGACUUUUCAAACGUUAUCAUGAUUUUUCAAGCGCUUUUUGAUUGUAUGGACUUUACCAGCUGGUUGCUGGUGACUUUAGCUGCGUUACUUGUGACGGAUGUGGUCAGAAACUGGAGACCACACAACUUUCCACCAGGACCGUGGGCGCUGCCUUUUCUAGGAAACAUCUUCACAGGACUGGACUUCCAAUCAAUAAAUAAGCUUGCUGAGCAGUACGGUCCAGUGUUCAGCUUGAGGAAAGGCAGCACGAGGAUGGUGUUUGUCUCCGGCUACAAGAUGGUCAAAGAGGCUCUCGUCAACCAGAUGGACAGCUUUGUUGAUCGACCGGUUGUUCCUCUCUUCCACAAAACCUUCAAGGGGAUUGGUAUAGCUAUGAGCAAUGGUUACCUCUGGAAGCAGCAGAGGAAGUUUGCCAACACUCACCUGCGUUACUUUGGAGAGGGUCAGAGGUCGCUGGAAAAAUACAUUCAGGUUGAAAGCGAGUUCUUGUGUGAAGCUUUCAAAGAGGAACAAAGAGGACCGUUCAAUCCCCACUACACCAUAACGACCGCAGUGGGCAACAUCAUCUCCUCUGUGGUCUUUGGACAGCGCUUUGAAUACAGCGAUCCGAGCUUUCGAACAGUUCUGGAGCUGGACAAUGAGGCCGUCCUGCUCGCCGGCUCUCCUCUGGUUCAGCUGUAUGAUGUGUACCCCAGCUUACUGGACCACCUGCCAGGACCUCACCAGACUCUCCACGGAAACUACAGGGAGAUCAUGGCUUUCCUGGCAAAGCAAGUAGAGAAGCACCGGGAAGAGUGGAACCCUGAGGACCCCCGGGACUUUAUUGACGUAUACCUGGCAGAGAUGGAAAAGAAAAAGGAGGAUCCCCAGGCGGGCUUUAACAUUGAAAGCCUGCUGGUUUGCACUCUCGACCUGAUUGAGGCUGGGACCGAAUCAUCUUCCACCACUUUACGCUGGGCCCUCGUCUACAUGAUGCACCACCCAGAGAUACAAGAGAAAGUCCAGGCGGAGAUCGACCGAGUGAUUGGAGAGUCUCGUCAGCCCGCCGCGGCCGACCGACCCAACCUGCCCUUUACAGACGCCGUCAUCCACGAGAUUCAAAGGAUGGGGAACAUCGUUCCUUUGGGUUUCCCCAAAAUGGCCACUAAAGACGCUACACUGGGAGGAUAUUUAAUACCCAAAGGUACAAGUCUGACGACAGCUCUGGGAUCUGUGCUGUUUGACAAGAAUGAGUGGGCGACUCCUGAAAACUUCAAUCCUGAGCAUUUCUUGGAUUCAGAGGGAAAGUUCCGCAGAAGAGAGGCCUUCCUACCGUUUUCUGCAGGUAAACGUGCGUGUGUAGGAGAACAUCUGGCCAGGAUGGAGCUGUUCCUUUUCUUUACGUCUCUGCUCCAGCGCUUCACCUUCUCUCCUGUUCCUGGAGAGAUGCCCAGCCUGCACGGAAUUCUGGGCUUCACCUAUUCCCCCCAAGAGUUCCGCAUCCUGGCUGAGCCUCGCUGAAUUGCUCCCCCUGCUACUGCUGACCGCAGUAUCCCCACGUUCUCUCUGACACAAGAGUUUUGUGGAUUUUAAGCAGAAGUGUUAGAAUUGUAGUUUGUGUGUUAUUAGAUAUUAGUUAUUAUAUUAGUAUGCAAUAUGAGUUAAACAAGUCAUUUAAUUACUGUACAAGAGGGUUUUUUGAAAGUUUUCUCCUGUCAGGACAUUUAGGAGCAGAGGAUGUAGGACAGCCCUACAGGGCCACUGUUUUGAUUUUGGACCAUAUAAACGGAGAUAAACAUAAUGGUUAAAAUGUGAUCGACUGUGAUGAUUCAAUAUGUGGUAUUAUUAAAGUGUACUAGCUAUUAGAUGACACUCAAUAUUAUGCAUGCUUUGUUUACAUAAAGAAGCAUUAAGCGAAAGGUCUGAUCAUUGAAUGUCUUGUAAUAUUAUGUGAAUGGCCAUCGGUUGGGUCAGGGAGGGAGUACAGAUUCGGCCAUCAGAUAGAGAUCAGGGAGAUAAAUGGCUGGAAGCAGAAAGGAGGGAGGAGCUACGUUUGAACGUGCAGCAAAUCACAUACGGCUGCAAAAUGAUUGACACACCCGUGAGAUUCAAAUAGACUGUACUGGGGAGAGACAGAAUCUGUGGAGAUACAUGAUUAGAGGUCGGAAUCGACUGUGUAUUUUGCAAAAUAUUAUGCUAUUCAUACCGCUUCUGUUUAUUAUUAAAAUUCGUUUCGAAUUUUAAA